AGGCUUCUUGCUCUCGCUGCCGCCGGUCAAUACUUUCGAUGUUCUCCGAAUUCAACGAGCUUUUUUUUCCGGUCAAGUUCUUCAGUGAAACUGUGUUCAAUCUGCGCCUCUCUCAACUUUAAUCCCUGCGUGUCUGAAUCCCCCUUUUUUAAUGGUCUUCCGUUUUAUGUUUCUGGAUGCGGAUUACAUGUUCCUUACAUUGCCUGAAAGAAUUUUACCGUCACCCAGUUCUCUAACUUUUUUUUACAACCACUGGCACUGUGCGCUUGCCGUAUGCUGAAAUUAUUCCUAACUGAGAAGCAAAUUCCUGAUAUCAGGGUUCUAAAAGUUCCCUUUUCAGAAGUUUGUUUAUUCAUCCACUUAUGCCCACAGCUGAUUCUCCAUUUCUGUUCAUGUUUGAAUGGUGGUAAAUGGUACCCCCACUCGUUAUUUCUGGGAAUAUUUGUCAACUUGUUGUGCAGCCCAAAUUCAAAAGCUCAUAUUUACUGUCGAAUCUUUUUUAACUUUCGAGCAAAUAAUGAUUGUCAAACAUUUUUCUUACUUUUGAUUGGCCUGCUAAUGUCAAUGGAAGCUCAUGGCUUAUGGAUUUACCUAAGAGGGUGGAGGCAAUAUGGAUUUUGCAAUAACAUAUAAGCGCUGCUAAACAGGUAAGUUUCUUGUUUGUCUCAGCUUUCAAUUGCAUCUGGAUGGCAUAGAUACUUGGUGACUGACUGUGAUUUGUUCAUUAGCAUAAGUUAUCAUAAAUUGGUGAUAAAAAUGGAGACAGUUUUGGACUAAGAUAGAUACCCCAAGUGUCUAAUUUUCUGAAUUAUACAUGUUGUGUUAGGAUUUAGUACCUAUUUUUCCCAUGACCAAAUUCGCUAUAUCUAUGUGCUCUGGUCGGUAUAGAAUAACAUGUAUGAUCCCUGGUUUGAUUGGAGAAAAGAUAUGUCUUUUCAUCCAAGAACAAUUCCAAUUUUUUUUCUGGAAAGGUAGAUACUUUUCUCAGUAAUGGAGUCUCCACCAUGUCCAAAGAGAAGACUUGCUUCUCUGAAUCUUAUUCUCAAGUGAGGACCCCGCAAACCACUCCUCGAGGUAUAAAAUACCAACCACCACGUAAACACGUGUUUUGGUUGCCCAACUGAUAUGAUUUCUAUACUUACAUGCCAAGUAACAUGUGAAGAUGUUCGUAGGCUCUGUUUUCUUUAGUCUGUUUGAGCUGCCUACUUAAUAUUUAAGAUUACUGGUGGAUUGAGAUGAACUAGAAAGAGCGAGUGAGGUUCACUUUGGUUAUUUUAUUGCUCCUGGUACUAUAUUGGAUCAUCAUUACAUUGGAGAAGUGGGACCAAUAAGAGAAUGUUUAAUCGCAAGAAAAUCCGUUUUUGUUAUUCAUACAUUCAUAGUACUGGAUCCAGGGGCCUCCCGUAGAUUCUUCUCUGCUAGAAAUCGAGAAGCUUGGCAAGUGAAUUUUUUACCAUCUGAUGCUCUUUAACAUCACGAGUUGCUGUCCCUUCUUCCAUUGCAAGUUGGUAUGUUCUGCUUAGCCUAGAACUCGAGCCAUUUUUUUAGGACUGUAGGUAUUACUACGUAGGUAGCAUCAUGAAUAAAUUUGUAGCCAUAGAUCUCUUCCAAAUGAAAUGGACGAUCCAAUUUGUUAGCUGUCUUUGUGAGAAUAACCUUUUGAUAGAAAAUGAGGGAUUCCAGUCCACUUCAGAGUUGAAGGGUUCUCGACUCACUAUACACGGAGAACAAGCUUAGUGCCUAAUAUUUAUUCUCCCUCAUACCUCUAUGCCAAGUAGCCGCACCAUAUAAAUUCCUCUAGGUAAAAUAAUUGAACAAAAAGAGAGGAAAAAGAACAUAUAAAGGGUAUUUGAUUGCUUUUUUCUUUUUUUUCCCGGAUAUGUCCUGGAAUUGGAAUGGUGACCAAGUUAUUAAUCAAUCAAGUAGUCCUCUCCAGCUUAUGGCUUGGUUGAAGUGGACCCUUCAGUAUGUCUUUUAAUAAGAAUCAAGACUCCACUUCAGAACUAGUUGAUAAGAAAAACAAAUAAAACAAAGAAGCUCCUUGCGAAUCAGAACUUUCCAGCCCCAUCCCCUGCCAAUAAUACGAAAAAUCUAUGCGUUACAAAUAAGCAGGUGUAUGGUUGGCUUAGUUUCCUCCUAUCUUUUUUUGGAUGAAUAGUUUCCUCCUAUCAAGGCAUAAAAACAAAAAAAUGGAACUUGAUGAACAAUAUAGAGAGUGAUUGAAAAAAGAAUUUACAAGCUGCUUUUCCAGUAAAUGAAUAAUAGCAAGUUGUACAUCUUUAUGAUUAGCCUCUCAAUUUCUUAAUAGUUACUGGAGGCCCUAUAUUGUUUCGGUAUAAUACUUGUAUAAGGUUUCUAGAGUAAUAUAGUACUUGGAAUCACAAGUCAAAUGGGUUUUUUAUCUUGGUUACACUUGAUGCAUCCUUGGCCUUGUUUGACGACUUGCAUCUGCAAGGAUCUGCCUCAAUCAACAGUUGGACAACCUCACUCAUGGUUGGCCUUAGAGCUGGAUUCUUGUAGGUGCAUCGGAUUGCAAUUCUGAGGACUUGGAUCAUCUCAUCCCUGAAAGAACCCAAUAGUUUUUUGUCUAAGACCUCCAUGACUCCUUCCUUGGUUUCCACUUUCGUUGAAACCCAGUAAAUGAUGUUCUUGUUGUCUCCAAAGUCUGCUUCUACAGGCUUCCUCCCAGUUAUUAGUUCCAGCAGCACAACCCCGAAGCUGUACACGUCGCACUUAGUUGUUGCCUUUGAUGAGAAUGCAUAUUCUGUGAAAGCAUGCAUAAACUAAUGAAAACCCAAGUAAAGAAGUCUGCUUGUUUAUAUUGCAUAAUAUUUUUCAGUACCUGGGGCCAAGUAACCGUAGGUGCCUGCAAUAAGAGUCGUUGUGGAAUCUUUUCCUCCUCUAGCUUGCAAAACCUUUGCUAUCCCGAAAUCUGCCACCUUUGGAUGGUUGUUAAUAUCCAAAAGUAUGUUGCUUGACUUGAUGUCGCGGUGGAUGAUAGGUGGCAACAGGUCAUGAUGCAGGUAUGCUAGGCCCUGAGCAACCCCGAGUGCUAUUUGAUGGCGGGUAGGCCAAUUCAGAUGAGUCCAACCUUUAUGAAGUGCAUCCCAUAGAUUUCCAUUUGGCAUGUACUCAUAAACCAGCAAGUUGACGUCCAAGCUGGAGAAGUAACAGUAAAGCUUGACUAUGUUUUUAUGCCUUAUAUUUCCCAGAGUCUCAACCUCAGUCUUCAAUUCCUUGUCCAGAAGCAACUGAACAUCUGCUGCAGAAUCUUUGCUUCUCUU
rnacentral:lncRNA from 1 species